AACGAACGCUGGCGGCGUGCCUAACACAUGCAAGUCGUGCGAGAAAGUCACUUCGGUGGCGAGUAGAGCGGCGCACGGGUGAGUAACACGUGGGUAACCUGCCCUCGAGUCUGGGAUAACCCGGGGAAACCCGGGCUAAUACCGGAUACGGCCGUGAGGUCUUCGGAUCUCGCGGAGAAAGGCGGCGCUCCUUCGGGAGCUUUCGCUCGACGAUGGGCCUGCGUCCCAGUAGCUAGUUGGUGAGGUAACGGCCCACCAAGGCAAAGAUGGGUAGCUGGUCUGAGAGGAUGGACAGCCACACUGGAACUGAGACACGGUCCAGACUCCUACGGGAGGCAGCAGUGGGGAAUUUUGGGCAAUGGGCGAAAGCCUGACCCAGCAACGCCGCGUGUGGGAUGAAGGCCCUCGGGUCGUAAACCACUGUCAGGAGGAAAGAACGGCCGGCCGGAUAAUACUCGGUCGGUUUGACGGUACCUCCAAAGGAAGCGCCGGCUAACUCCGUGCCAGCAGCCGCCGCAGUAA
rnacentral:rRNA from 1 species